GAUGAACGCUAGCGGCAGGCCUAAUACAUGCAAGUCGAACGGUGUAGCAAUACGCAGUGGCGCACGGGUGCGUAACACGUAUGCAACCUACCUAUUAUUGGGGGAUAGCCUUUGGAAACGGAGAUUAAUACCGCAUAAGACAGUGACAUGGCAUCAUGUAGCUGUUAAAGCUUUGGCGAUAAUAGAUGGGCAUGCGUCCAAUUAGUUAGUUGGUGAGGUAAUGGCUCACCAAGACGAUGAUCGGUAGGGGAUCUGAGAGGAUAAUCCCCCACACUGGCACUGAGAUACGGGCCAGACUCCUACGGGAGGCAGCAGUAGGGAAUAUUGGGCAAUGGACGGAAGUCUGACCCAGCCAUGCCGCGUGCAGGAUGACGGCGUUAUGCGUUGUAAACUGCUUUCUUAUAGGAAGAAGAAGCCCUUGCGAGGGAAAGUGACGGUACUAUAAGAAUAAGCACCGGCUAACUCCGUGCCAGCCGCCGCCGUAACAC
rnacentral:rRNA from 1 species